UGGUGGAGUGAUUUGUCUGGUUAAUUCCGUUAACGAACGAGACCUCCGCGUGCUAAAUAGUUUCGCUUACAAUUUUUGUAGGUUCGAGACUUCUUAGAGGGACUUUUGGGUAAUCAAACCAAAGGAAGUUGGAGGCAAUAACA
rnacentral:rRNA from 1 species